rnacentral:rRNA from 1 species
ACUGGUGAUAAUUCCGAAUAAACCAUUAUUGCUGGAAUGCUUUUUGGUUCAAAGACUUCGGUUGCCUAAGGAUGGAUCUGCGGUCUAUCAGGUAGUAGUGGGUGUAAGGUACCUACUAGCCUACGACGGAUAUGGGUUGUGAGAGCAAGAGCCCAGAGAUGGAUUCUGAGACAUGAAUCCAGGCCCUACGGGGCGCAGCAGGCGCGAAAACUUUACAAUGCGGGAAACCGCGAUAAGGGGACACCGAGUGCCAGCAUAUUAUGUUGGCUGUCCACAUGUGUAAACGGCAUGUGUUAGCAAGGGCCGGGCAAGACCGGUGCCAGCCGCCGCGGUAACACCGGCGGCCCGAGUGGUAAUCACUUUUAUUGGGUCUAAAGGGUCCGUAGCCUGUUUGAUCAGUUCUUCGGGAAAUCUGACAGCUUAACUGUUAGGCUUCCGGGGAAUACUGUCAGACUUGGGACCGGGAGAGGUAAGAGGUACUACAGGGGUAGGAGUGAAAUCUUGUAAUCCCUGUGGGACCACCAGUGGCGAAGGCGUCUUACCAGAACGGGUCCGACGGUGAGGGACGAAAGCUGGGGGCACGAACCGGAUUAGAUACCCGGGUAGUCCCAGCCGUAAACGAUGUUCGCUAGGUGUCAGGGACGGUGCGACCGUUUCUGGUGCCGCAGGGAAGCCGUGAAGCGAACCACCUGGGAAGUACGGCCGCAAGGCUGAAACUUAAA